rnacentral:rRNA from 1 species
GUCUUUGGGUUGGGGAACGUUGGAACGACUGCUAAUACCGGAUGUGCCGAGAGGUAAAAGCUUUAGUGCCUGUAGAUGAGCUUGCGUCCGAUUAACUAGAUGGAGUGGUAACGGCACACCAUGGCGACGAUCGGUAGCUGGUCUGAAAGGAUGACCAGUCACACUGGAACUGAAACACGGUCCAGACUCCUACGGGAGGCAGCAAUGGGGAAUUUUCCGCAAUGGGCGAAAGCCUGACGGAGCAAUACCGCGUGAGGGACGAAAGUCUGUGGAUUGUAAACCUCUUUUGUUAGGGAAGAUAAUGACCGUACCUAACGAAUAAACAUCGGCUAACUCCGUGCCAGCAGCCGCGGUAAGACGGAGGAUGCAAGCGUUAUCCGGAAUUAUUGGGCGUAAAGCGUACGUAGGCUGUUAGAUAAAUCUGUUGUCAAAGCGCGAGGCUCAACCUUGUAAAGGCAAUGGAAACUGUUUGACUAGAGAGAGAUAGGGGCAGGAGGAAUUCCAGGUGUAGCGGUGAAAUGCCUAGAUAUCUGGAAGAACACCAGUGGCGAAAGCGUCCUGCUGGAUCUCAACUGACGCUGAAGUACGAAAGCUAGGGGAGCGAAUGGGAUUAGAUACCCCUGUAGUCAAAAAAAAGUACCCCUGUACUCAAUGAGGUUAAUCUUACUUUUGGUCUCCCUGCACA